UACGAAGGGGGCUAGCGUUGCUCGGAAUCACUGGGCGUAAAGCGCACGUAGGCGGAUUGGUAAGUCAGGGGUGAAAUCCUGGAGCUCAACUCCAGAACUGCCUUUGAUACUGGCGAUCUCGAGUCCGGGAGAGGUGAGUGGAACUGCGAGUGUAGAGGUGAAAUUCGUAGAUAUUCGCAAGAACACCAGUGGCGAAGGCGGCUCACUGGCCCGGUACUGACGCUGAGGUGCGAAAGCGUGGGGAGCAAACAGG
rnacentral:rRNA from 1 species